ACGAGGUCAGAGCGGCGCGCGCCUCGCAAAGCUACGCGCGCCCCCUUGGAGGGCCGAUGCUUCAGGGCCGCGCCGCCCUCUUGUCCACCUCAGGCUUUUGGGGCCUAGUCGUCUCCAACAAAGAGUGAGCCCAGAGCGGUGUGCGACAGACUUAAGCUUCUCCUCACAACAACCCUGUGAAGUAGGUUAGGCUGAGAGAGAAGUGACCGGCCCAGAAUCCCCCAGCAAUGCGCCUUUAUCUCUGAGAGCAGCCCUCCAAGGCGGCCUACAAAGUGACACAAUGGACAUAACUUUUUAAAAAGGAAAGGUGACCUAAAAUGACAUCCAUGUCUGUUUCUGGCUCUCAGGUGGAAAACUGUGUGCAGAGUGUGUUCCCUGCUGGACAUUACAGAGCCAGGGACUGGGACAUGCAGGAAGCCAGGUGGCCUGGCAUCUUUUCAGAAAGUGUGAUUUUCCAUCCCCUGCACCCUCUGUGGACUUUGCUUUGCUGGACUGAACCUAAGGCCCAUCUUCCCCAACAUUCAGGGCUGUAUCCAUUCCACAGGGCAUCUUGGAUUGGAAGAUACCAGAAGAGCAGGAAGAAGGUGGCCUGAGAGAAAUGUGCAGAAAACCUGGGAGAAAGGGCAGAGGUGAAAGGCAUACCUGGCCAGCAGACCCUGCUGAGGGGUUUUUUUUCUGAAAGGGGACAAUUAAUGCAUGCUUGCUAACCAACUUAAUCCCAGACUACAAAUGCUGUUGGAGUGAUUGAUUGAUUAAGUGCCGUCAAGUCGGUGUCAACUCUUAGCAACCACAUAGAUAGAUUCUCUCCAGGAUGAUCUGUCUUCAACUUGGCCAGUGGUGCAUUCGUUGUCGUAAUCGAGUCCAUCCAUCUUGCUGCUGGUCGUCCUCGUCUUCUCUUUCCUUCAACUUUUCCCAGCAUUAUGGACUUCUUAAGGGAGCUGGGUUUUUGCAACAUGUGUCCAAAGUAUGAUAGUUUGAGCCUGGUCAUUUGGGCCUCGAGUGAAAAUUCUGGAUUGAUUUGUUCUCAAAAAAUCUUCUCCAGCACCAAAGUUCAAAAGUGUCAAUACUUUUCCUAUCUUGCUUCAAAGUCCAGCUUUUGCAUCCAUAGAGUGUCACGGGGGAAACCACUGACCGAACGAUUCUAAUCUUUGAAGGUAUAGAUACAUCACGGUAUCUAAAUAUCCUUUCCGAGGCCUUCCUUGCAACCCUUCCAAGUGCUAGUCUGCGGUGUAUUUCUCGACUGCUGGAUCCUUUACUGUUGACGGUCGAUCCUAAAAGGCAGAAGCUCUCCACCACUUCAACGUCUUCAUUAUAAAUUCUGAGGCUGGUUGCUGUGCCCGUUGUCAUUAGUUUAGUCUUCUUUACAACUUUGCAGCUGAAGAUGAUUGGAGUUGUAGUCCAACAGCAGCUGGCGAGCCUCAGAACGGCCACCCGUUCUAGAGAAAUGUCCAGAUGUGGACAAAACCAAACUGAAAUGGGUGCAGUAAUUCUAAAUCAGAUAGAAUAACUGUAGGACUGGGGGGAAGGGAAGGGGAAGAGAAAAAAUAAAUUCACUUUUCACACAAUGAAUGAAUAUGCAUGGAUCCCUGGCUAUUAAGUAGUGUACCUGUAUUCUAGCAGUGUUUGGGGGAACCUAAAGCUUAUUUGAAAGGGGAACACUGGAAAUGCAAAGAUGCCAUGGUAACAGAUGUUUAAAGGAAGCCUCAUCCCCCUCGAGGAGGAAAUCUUGGAAGAACUGAAAUAGGGAGAACUGAAUUAUUAAGCAAGCAAAAACAAGGUGUUAUAAACUGGGGAAGGUCUGUGGGGAAAGAAUGAAUGGGAUAUAGACUUCAUUCAGAAAAGCUGUGCCAGGUUUUUUCUUUUUUCCAUUUCACUGGAAGAAGCAUGCGAAAUACCACCUGUUUCAAUAUGAAAAACACGUUUGCUAUAACUGAGUAAAUUUUUAUUUCUAUGACAGUAAUUGCUUCCGGCAAAGAGAAAGUAGAUUUAAAGGACAAUACCACUAGUGCUGUUAUGCCACAGAUCUGUUAGAAUGAGUGCAAUAAAAGGACGUGUGGAAGUUGUACAA